UGAGACUUUUUUAAGUAAAUUUUAGAAAUAUGACGGUGCAUUUGACUCAAUCCUAAGGGGUGAAGGGACAUUAACCCUUUCUAUAUUGAUUUAUCUCAUAAAUUUAAAGUUCUAACAUCUCAACCGCUUAAUGAAUAUGCAACAAAUAUAGUACAGAAGUAAUUUAUUGAAACGGUACAAAAAUUAGUAAAAAGAAAACAAAAAGUAAAGAUCUAUUGAAAAUUCUAACUCAUGAUGGAUAUCAUAUAAUAAAAGAUCAACAGUAACUGGCCCAAAUUAAAGCCUAAACUCGAAUCGAGUUUCUAAUUUCCAGUAAGAGGCUCGUGAGUGGUAACAAACCUAGAUUUUUUGAGUAUAUCCACUGUCAUAUCUAUACACACACAAUGUCCAUCUUAUAGACUGAAAGGCCCAGUUGUAGAGAAAACAUUGGAAUAAAAAAAUUACUGUUAAUUUUGUUAUGACCCAAUUUAAGUACUAUUGUUACUGGCACGUAAACCAGACAAAAUUUAAUACGAUCCGAUUACCCGAUAUAAAAAUGAUACAAACAAAUGGGUAUGAGUCAUCAAAUUUGACAAGAUUAUUAAAUGGACUGAGUUCGGGUUUACACAAUUUUUUUCAUGUCGGGUUAGGGUUAAAGUUCUUAACCUAUUUAUCCGAACAAUGACACGAUUAUAUUUUCUAUUUCAAAUUAAUUUUUAGAUUCUUUUCAUUAAAACUCAAAUAUUGGGCACGAUUCUCUUUUUUUAAUUUUUUCGGGGAAGAUGGAUGUAUACAUAGUGUUUUAUUUAUAAAAUUUGAUAUAAAUUUAAAACUUUAAUAGUGUAAGUGUGUAAAAUAUUGAUACACAUGUAUAUUUAUGAUAUCGAUAUGUAAUAUUAUUUAUAUAUAUAUAAUUUAAACUUUAAAUAGUGUAAAUGUGUAAUAUGUUGGGGUGUAUGUGUUUAACACUUGUUAAAUAUUUAGAUAUCAAACAGGUUAUUGGGUGACCCAUUUAUCUUUCGUGCCGAGUUUAAGUCUCAAUAUUUUAACACAAUUAUUCAAUGGGUCGUGUUUGGGCCGACUUAAAUUUGACACGAUACGAACACGAGCCGGUGACCCAUUUUGCCAACUCUACUACCACACUUAAUAAUUUGAAGUUUUUAAAGUUCUUUAACUAACAUAAUACGCAGUUAAGGAUUCAAGUAAUUUGAUUUUUUUUUUGUUUAAAUAUAUAACGCGGAAAUAUAUACUUCUCCAUUUGUUGGACCCAAAAUAUAUUAAUAUUU
rnacentral:lncRNA from 1 species